rnacentral:rRNA from 1 species
UACAGAGGUCUCGAGCGUUGUUCGGAUUCAUUGGGCGUAAAGGGUGCGUAGGUGGCGCUGUAAGUCGGGUGUGAAAUCCUGAGGCUUAACCUCGGAACUGCAUUCGAUACUGCGGCGCUUUGAGGACUGGAGAGGAGACUGGAAUUCAUGGUGUAGCAGUGAAAUGCGUAGAGAUCAUGAGGAAGACCAGUGGCGAAGGCGGGUCUCUGGACAGUUCCUGACACUGAGGCACGAAGGCCAGGGGGAGCAAACGGG